AGGCCCCGCCCCCUCAGGCCCCGCCCCCUCAGGACGUUGCUAUGGAAACCCAGGAUGUUCAAGCUCCGGCCUUAUAUUAACUUCUUCUCAGCACUCGCACUUGGCUUGGACCGCCUUACGGGACUCUGGAAAGGACUUUUUUCUUCUUCUUCUUCUUCUUCUUCUUCUUUUAUUAUUCUAUCUGGCUCCGCCCCCUUUUGGGGGCGUGGUCAGACUGACGCAAAGCAGGUUCAAAAUGGCUCAAUAAACAGAUGCAGGUUUUAAAGUUUAGGUGAAGGUUUCCUGUCUCAACUUUGCUGGUAAACAUCGCCUUACACAACCGUUGCUGUAGCAACGCCCUUUAUUUUAACUACUGGAGUUAAAUGCAGAUGUUGAAAAACCUUUUUUGAACCAAGGUUUGGGAACGACGUCAUCUAAGGAGGUGGAGUUAAACCUGCAGGAAACAGGAGUCUGCUUUGGUACCCCCUUUACACCAAACCGGUUCCAGGGCUGGUCCGAGGAGACUGCAAGGCACUUAUACACACGAAGAGGAAAGAACUGAGAAUGUGUUUGUGUUUGUUCCUGUAAAACUCUGUCGACGCCUGGGAAUGGUGCAGAACGACAUCGUGCCUGUUAACUUUAGUUUUCAUGUGAUGGAUUAUUCUAGUUCCUUCGGCAGAAACGUUGGAGCCCAGAGGACCUGAACGUUUACAAAGUUUGAGACUUUUGCACAGAAGAGCAGGAUGUUUGUGGCGACGUCACUGCAGGAAACGAGGCCGAGAAACGGCUCCGCCCCCAAAGGAGUGGGGGCGGAGCCACGGCUGCAGCUCCGCCCCCAGAGGAGUGGGGUCGGGGCUUCAGCCACCUCACUUAGGAAAACACGCCUGAUGUCUCCGUGUCGUACGAAAGAGUAUUAGGGCCAGGGAGGAGAAAAAUACAAAUAAUAUUUUAGAGGAGGAAUAUUUUUUUUUUUUUUUUUCAUUAUGCAAGUCAAGAAAAAAGUCGAAUUGUUGAGAAUAAAGUUGAAAUGUCGAGGAAAAAGUUGAAAUUUCGAAAAAAAAAGUCGAAAUGUUGAGAAAAAUAGUCAAAACUUUUCAUUAUACACUACAAUUUCGAGAAAAAAGUUGAAAUUUUGUGAAUAAAGUUGAAUGUCGAUAAAAAAGUUGAAAUGUCGGGAAAAUAGUUGAAAUGUUGAGAAAAAAGGCGAAAUUUCGACUUUAUUCAAUUCAAAUUGGCUUUAUUGGCAUGAAUGGUUUGCAUUGUUGCCGGAAUAAUAUUAUUAUUAUUUAUUAUUAUUAUUAUUAUUAUUAUUAUUAUUAUUAUUAUUAUUCUUGAAAUUGUAUUUCAACAUUAAUCUCGACAUUUUGACUUUUCUCUUGACAUUUCGACUUUUUUCUCGAAGUGCAUAAUGAAAAAAAGAUCUUCCCCUCUCAAAUAUUUUUCCUCCUGCAUGGCCCUGAUACUCUUCCGUCGUGUCGGCCUUCAUGUUUACUGAAAUGUUUGAUCUCAGACUGGAAACGUUGCUGCAGAACCUGAAGCUCUAGCAGGAGCUGCAGCAGCUCCUGGUGGCCGCUGGGGGAACUGCAGGCGGAGCAGGGAGGAGCUGUAACGCCGCUCCGCCAGAUCAGUCGGUGGUUGGUUUAACGUGGUUGUUUAUGGGAUGGUUGGUGGUUUAUUGAUAAAUCAGAAUCCUGAGCCUCAGAGGAAGUUUGAACUCCUGGAGAAUCUGGGUUUGAUUCACGGGAAAUAAGAACAAACGGUUUCUGAAGUAGGAAAGGGACGUUACAGGUUAUUCAGGUUAGUAGCUGCUGGACCAGGACCAGAUCAGGACCAGAUCAGGACCAGCUUCAACCCUGAGUCUCGGUUCCGUCACAGUAUUUUAGCGACGAGCUCUUAGGAUAUGAAACAUUCAGGUGUCUGAGGCUUCAGGGGGGGCAGGUUCAGGUUCUGGUCUGAAACGUACCGGUCCCUCCACGAAGACACUUCUGUCUCCCGUUGACGAGAAGCUCCGGUACUUCAGGGAGGGAUUAUUGUUUUAUUGAAAGUAAAAAGUAAACUGUUGGUUGACCCCAGUUGUUUGUUUCCAUGCUGAGUUGAUGGUGUUAGUCAGAUCUGAAAAUGAGGCUCGCUGAGCAUUUAUUAUUGGCCUUAUUGGACCAGGACAGAACUUCUCUGUCUUUACUUCGGUGCUGCUUACGAAGCUUCUUGAAGAUCAAUAAAACUUUGACAAGAA